GGCCCCCCAAAGGCCCACCUGGGGGUCCAGAUCCCACUAGCGCCACCAAGGCCCACCUCGGGAUCCAUCCCCGGCCCCACAACCCUUCUUAUAUUUCAUACUAUUUUUUUUAUAAUCUGCUUCAAUGCACUCUGUCUCGGACCCCAUACCCCUAUAAUAAUGUUAGAAUAAGGGGCGGCCCAAAAGCGGAAUUGACCAGUAUCACUUUCUCCCCACUCCUUUCUCUCUAGAUUAUUCUACCAUUACCAGAAAAUUCAAAAUAUUCAGACUAAAAAAUGCAAAUCUGUUGUUACACAUGCAACACUCAAAUAUACUCAUCUACAAAUACUCCUACAGUCACUUCGAUUAAGACUUUGUUAAAAUAAGUUUAUAUAGUCACUUUGAUAAAGACUUUGUUGAAUUGACUUAUUUAGGUAUUUUUGACAACAAAAUAAACUAGAUAAGACUGACAAAUUACCUUAUUUAGGUUGUAAUGAACGGAUGUUGCACACAAAUAACCUUUUUAAUGUUAACUUAUGCCAGAAAAUUAGAGAUGUAUAUUACUCAAGUUGGUAAUUUAAACUCCAAUUAAUCGAAAAUCACCCUUUAUAGCCAUUCCAGUCACCAAUUUGUUUAAAUUGGUUGCUAAUCGUCGAUAUUAAUCUGUGGAUCUGAUCUGUGCAUAAGGUAAACAGAGAAAUCGAACACUCUGUUGACCAACUUAAGGAUGACAACAGGGAUGUUUGCUCCGUAGGGGUGGCAAUUUCAAUUUACAGGUCGAUUUCUGGUCAAGCUAAAAUUACUUAAAAUUGCAUGAAAUUUAAUAUGUAAGUUUAAGGGAAUGAAUUUCAAUUUUAUGUCACUUUUGGGUUGACCAGGUCAGUUCCGAGUUUUUUCUCAGAGAAUCAAAACUGUGAAUCUGGUCAGGCUAUGGUCAUGGCUGAUAUCGCUACCACUUAGUUCAUAAAAGAGGUGUGCACUUUAAUAUCAGGAGGUGUGCACUAUAAUAUUAGGAAGAUAAAAAGUUAAAUUGUACACUUUAAUAAAAAUGUGUGGGUGAGAUUUGUUUAAGCAUAUACAAAGUAAGUGGAUAUUAGUUAUCAGUUCUCACCAUUUUUGGUUCUCACUUCAGCACCAACCAGACUAGCUAAUUAUAUUUACUUAUUACAGGGUAUAAGUAGUCAUGUAAAUCAAAGCAAAUGACACAUUAUGCUUUAGUAUAUCGACAGCUUGAAGAAACAAACCUUUUUCAUGGAGGACAUAAAGGACUUGUUUACUAUGCCAGCCUGUAAACAUAAUUGAAAUAUUCAAGCAGUUACUAAAAAACCAAACAUUCUUUCCUACAAAGGUGAAUUGGUAAAGCAUAAUAAGCAAGAUGUUUGACCGUUUCACUAUUCAUAGCCAAGCAACAGACAACUAUAUCAGCAGCUUGUGCGAAUCUGUGGAAAUCUUCCAGGCCACCCUUCUCAUCAACCAGAUCAUCAUGUGUUCCUUGAACAGUAGACAACCAGAUCAUCAGGAGGUGUGCACUAUAAUAUUAGGAAGAUAGAAAGUUAAAUUGUACAGUUUAAUAAAAAUGUGUGGGUGAGAUUUGUUUAAGCUUAUACAAAGUAAGUGGAUAUUUUCUCUUUAUAUGACAUGU
rnacentral:lncRNA from 1 species